GAUGAACGCUAGCGGCAGGCUUAAUACAUGCAAGUCGAGGGGGCAGCGGGGGUAGCAAUACCUGCCGGCGACCGGCAAACGGGUAGCGGAACACGUACAGAACCUUCCUUUAAGCGGGGGAGUAGCCCGGACGAAAUACCGGAUUAAUACCCCACUAGUAAUAUUGACUGGCAUCAGUUGGUAUUUAAAGAUUAUCACUUAAAGAUGGCUGUGCGGCUGAUUAGGUAGUUGGUUGGGGUAACGGCCCACC
rnacentral:rRNA from 1 species